CUGGGAAUGUGUUUGCUGAGUUUGUUUGUGUCAAAGUCAGAGAGCCGUGUCUCUCUACAGUGAGAGGUUUUUGUACGGCGGCUCAAUGAGUUUGUAUCACUGUGGUACACGUUCGGUGGAGGAACCAGACUGGAUGUUAACUUGGGUCGAGUCGUCCCCACCCUGACGGUGCUGCCCCCCUCCAGUGAGGAGCUGCAGCAGGGGAAGGCCACGCUCAUGUGUCUGGCCAACAAGGGCUUCCCCUCAGACUGGAGUCUGUCCUGGAAGGUGGACGGCAGCAGCAGCAGCA